GAUGAACGCUGGCGGCGUGCCUAAUACAUGCAAGUAGAACGCUGAAGGAGGAGCUUGCUCUUCUGGAUGAGUUGCGAACGGGUGAGUAACGCGUAGGUAACCUGCCUGGUAGCGGGGGAUAACUAUUGGAAACGAUAGCUAAUACCGCAUGACAACAGUUAUUGCAUGAUAACUGUUUAAAAGGGGCAACUGCUCCACUACCAGAUGGACCUGCGUUGUAUUAGCUAGUUGGUGAGGUAACGGCUCACCAAGGCGACGAUACAUAGCCGACCUGAGAGGGUGAUCGGCCACACUGGGACUGAGACACGGCCCAGACUCCUACGGGAGGCAGCAGUAGGGAAUCUUCGGCAAUGGACGGAAGUCUGACCGAGCAACGCCGCGUGAGUGAAGAAGGUUUUCGGAUCGUAAGCUCUGUUGUAAGAGAAGAACGAGUGUGAGAGUGGAAAGUUCACACUGUGACGGUAUCUUACCAGAAAGGGACGGCUAACUACGUG
rnacentral:rRNA from 1 species